rnacentral:lncRNA from 1 species
GGGGAAUUUGUGAGGUAGGCCGGAAGUGGUGUUGCGGAGGGAACUGUGGGGAGAGCAGAGGGGCAGCUCUGCUGGAGAGACCUGAGGCUUGCAUCGCUGGGCCCGGCCGGGUCGCUGCGGCUGGGCUGGAGGUGAGGCGAAAGAAGGGCAUCCUCUGAUGGGAGUGGACCGGAGUCCGCUAAAGCGAAGCAUUCCAGGGUCAAGGAUGCAUUCCAGGAAAGUUCUAUAAAAAUAUACCAUCAACUCCAACCUGAUAUUUGACCUAGCCAUGGAAAACCUCAUUGGCUCCUCACUGGAUCAGACCAUAAAAAUGAUCCAGGAAUGAAAAUCUAAGAUAAAUUCCCACCACUUCAAGAUGUUCUUAUACAAGUCAACAGUCUAGCAGAUCAGCCAGUCUCUUUCAUCAUCAAGCAGACAUACUCAAGAAAGAGGAAUAGUGAAGUGAAAUACACAGAAGCAUGUUCAAGUUCAUCUGUUGAAUCUGGAAUUGUGAAUAGUGACAAUAUUGAGAAAAAUACUGACUCCAAUCUGCAAACUUCAACUUCAUUUGAGCCACAUUUCAAAAAGAAAAAAAAGAAAAAUUUGAAACAUUAAGGGAAAACAGUUGGGUAAAAGAUCCAUUUGCUUUUCGAAACCCUGAAUCAAUAAUUGAGCUAAACUUGGUGCCUGAAGAAGAGAAUGAAUUAUUGCAGCUUAGUUCUUCAUAUACAUUGAAGAAUGAUUAUGAAACCUUAAGUUUAUCAGCAUUUUGGAUGAAGGUAAAGGAAGACUUUCCAUUGUUAAGUAGAAAGAGUGUCCUGCUAUUGCUACCAUUCACAACAACUAGUUUGUGUGAACUAGGGUUUUCCAUCUUAACGCAGUUAAAAACAAAGGAAAGAAAUGGGCUGAAUUGUGCAGCAGCUAUGCGGGUAGCAUUAUCUUCCUGUGUUCCAGACUGGAAUGAACUUAUGAACAGGCAAGCACACCCAUCAUAGUAAAUAAAAAUCUUACCUAGCUUUUGUCUUUGUAUUUCUUAUUUUGUAGUAUUUUUCUAUGUUAUAUUUAAAUGGUACUAUAAUAUUG